rnacentral:rRNA from 1 species
AUGCGGGGCUUUAACGAUACUUGGUGCAGAUGGAUUGAACAGAUACUGCAUAAUGGGACAGUUAGCAUCAAGCUUAAUGGUAGUGUUGGGCCAUAUUUUCAAAGCAAAAAAGGGGUAAGACAGGGGGACCCACACUCUCCUUUCCUAUUCAAUCUAGCCGUUGAAUGCCUUACCAAAAUGAUCAAAAAUGCCCAUAAAAACAAACUUAUUAUGGGUCUGGCUGCUGACCUCAUUCCUGAUGGGGUGGUGGUCCUGCAAUAUGCGGAUGAUACUAUCAUUUGCAUUGAAGAUGAUGUUGAUAAAGCAGUCAACCUGAAGUUGCUGUUGUAUAUGUUUGAGAUGAUGUCCGUCCUGAAAGUUAACUUUCAGAAAAGUGAGAUUCUCACUGUGGGUGGAGAUGAAAGUGUGGUGAACAAAUAUGCAGAAAUCUUUAAUUGUGAGGUUGGCAGUUUCCCACUCAAAUACUUGCGGAUGCCUGUGAGUUACGCUAAUCUAAGAACGUCCGAUUGGGAGUUUAUUGUUAGUAAAUACUUGAAGAGGUUCGAGGCCUGGAUUGGCAACGCUGCCUCAAUGGGGGGAGACACACUCUACUUGAUUCCGUCGUCACGCAGAUCUCUCUCUAUCACAUGUCUAUGUGGCUCAUGA